GACGAACGCUGGCGGCGUGCUUAACACAUGCAAGUCGAACGAAGUGGCGAACGGGUGAGUAACGCGUAAUCAACCUGCCCUUCAGAGGGGGACAACAGUUGGAAACGACUGCUAAUACCGCAUACUGAAGGAGGGGAUUGCGUCUGAUUAGCUAGUUGGGGGGGGAACGGCCCACCAAGGCGAUGUUCAGGAGGCGGGCUGAGGGGGUGAACGGGCACAAUGGGACUGAGGCACGGGCCAGAACCCUACGGGAGGCAGCAAGGGGGAAUCUUCCGGAAUGGACGAAAGUCUGACGGAGCAACGGCGGGGUGGGGAUGACGGGCUUCGGGUUGUAAAGCUCUGUUAAUCGGGACGCGGUACCGGAAUAGAAAGCCACGGCUAACUACGUGCCAGCAGCCGCGGUAAUUC
rnacentral:rRNA from 1 species